GAUGAACGCUGGCGGCGUGCCUAAUACAUGCAAGUCGAGCGAACGGACGAGAAGCUUGCUUCUCUGAUGUUAGCGGCGGACGGGUGAGUAACACGUGGAUAACCUACCUAUAAGACUGGGAUAACUUCGGGAAACCGGAGCUAAUACCGGAUAAUAUUUUGAACCGCAUGGUUCAAAAGUGAAAGACGGUCUUGCUGUCACUUAUAGAUGGAUCCGCGCUGCAUUAGCUAGUUGGUAAGGUAACGGCUUACCAAGGCAACGAUGCAUAGCCGACCUGAGAGGGUGAUCGGCCACACUGGAACUGAGACACGGUCCAGACUCCUACGGGAGGCAGCAGUAGGGAAUCUUCCGCAAUGGGCGAAAGCCUGACGGAGCAACGCCGCGUGAGUGAUGAAGGUCUUCGGAUCGUAAAACUCUGUUAUUAGGGAAGAACAUAUGUGUAAGUAACUGUGCACAUCUUGACGGUACCUAAUCAGAAAGCCACGGCUAACUACGUGCCAGCAGCCGCGGUAAUACGUAGGUGGCAAGCGUUAUCCGGAAUUUAUGGGCGUAGCGCGCGUAGGCGGUUUUUUAGUCUGAUGUGAAAGCCCACGGCUCAACCGUGGAGGGUCAUUGGAAACUGGAAAACUUGAGUGCAGAAGAGGAAAGUGGAAUUCCAUGUGUAGCGGUGAAAUGCGCAGAGAUAUGGAGGAACACCAGUGGCGAAGGCGACUUUCUGGUCUGUAACUGACGCUGAUGUGCGAAAGCGUGGGGAUCAAACAGGAUUAGAUACCCUGGUAGUCCACGCCGUAAACGAUGAGUGCUAAGUGUUAGGGGGUUUCCGCCCCUUAGUGCUGCAGCUAACGCAUUAAGCACUCCGCCUGGGGAGUACGACCGCAAGGUUGAAACUCAAAGGAAUUGACGGGGACCCGCACAAGCGGUGGAGCAUGUGGUUUAAUUCGAAGCAACGCGAAGAACCUUACCAAAUCUUGACAUCCUUUGACAACUCUAGAGAUAGAGCCUUCCCCUUCGGGGGACAAAGUGACAGGUGGUGCAUGGUUGUCGUCAGCUCGUGUCGUGAGAUGUUGGGUUAAGUCCCGCAACGAGCGCAACCCUUAAGCUUAGUUGCCAUCAUUAAGUUGGGCACUCUAAGUUGACUGCCGGUGACAAACCGGAGGAAGGUGGGGAUGACGUCAAAUCAUCAUGCCCCUUAUGAUUUGGGCUACACACGUGCUACAAUGGACAAUACAAAGGGCAGCGAAACCGCGAGGUCAAGCAAAUCCCAUAAAGUUGUUCUCAGUUCGGAUUGUAGUCUGCAACUCGACUACAUGAAGCUGGAAUCGCUUGUAAUCGUAGAUCAGCAUGCUACGGUGAAUACGUUCCCGGGUCU
rnacentral:rRNA from 1 species